rnacentral:rRNA from 1 species
CUGGGUUUAGAACGUCGUGAGACAGUUCGGUCCCUAUCUGCCGUGCGCGUUGGAAAAUUGAGAAGAGUUGCUCCUAGUACGAGAGGACCGGAGUGAACGAACCUCUGGUGUUCGGGUUGUCAUGCCAAUGGCAUUGCCCGGUAGCUAUGUUCGGAAAGGAUAACCGCUGAAAGCAUAUAAGCGGGAAGCCUCCUUCAAGACUAGUUUUCCCUGGACCUUCGGGUCCUAAAGAGCCGUUCAAGACUAGGACGUUGAUAGGCAGGGUGUGUAAGUGCUGUAAGGCAUUGAGCUAACCUGUACUAAUUGCUCGAUCGGCUUGACCGU